UACUAGCUCAGUUGGUUAGAGCACUUGACUCAUAAUCAAGCCGUGACGGGUUCAAUUCCCGUGUAUACCCA
rnacentral:tRNA from 2 species